GAACCGUUCUGCCCUUCGCGAGAUAUGUUUGAUUUUCUUGGUCGUUUAUAAAUGAUCGACCAGGAAUCGAACAUAUUAUUGCGGCGGGUAGAGAAGUCGACGUUGCGAGU
rnacentral:pre_miRNA from 1 species